UACGAAGGGGGCUAGCGUUGCUCGGAAUUACUGGGCGUAAAGCGCACGUAGGCGGUCUUUUAAGUCGGGGGUGAAAUCCUGGAGCUCAACUCCAGAACUGCCUUCGAUACUGGUAGGCUUGAGACCGGAAGAGGACAGCGGAACUGCGAGUGUAGAGGUGAAAUUCGUAGAUAUUCGCAAGAACACCAGUGGCGAAGGCGGCUGUCUGGUCCGGUUCUGACGCUGAGGCGCGAAAGCGUGGGGAGCAAACAGG
rnacentral:rRNA from 1 species